AGCAGUCGCCGCGGUAAUACGAGGGGGGCUAGCGUUGCUCGGAAUUACUGGGCGUAAAGGGAGCGUAGGCGGAUCGUUAAGUUGGGGGUGAUAGCCCGGGGCUCAACCUCGGAAUUGCCUUCAAUACUGGCGAUCUUGAGUAUGGAAGAGGUAUGUGGAACUCCGAGUGUAGAGGUGAAAUUCGUAGAUAUUCGGAAGAACACCAGUGGCGAAGGCGACAUACUGGUCCAUUACUGACGCUGAGGCUCGAAAGCGCGGGGAGCAAACAGGAUUAGAUACCCGGGUAGUCCCUGUCUCUUAUAC
rnacentral:rRNA from 1 species